rnacentral:rRNA from 1 species
AUUGAACGCUGGCGGCAUGCCUUACACAUGCAAGUCGAACGGUAACGGGCCUUCGGGUGCCGACGAGUGGCGAACGGGUGUGUAAUGUAUCGGAACGUACCUUUCAGUGGGGGAUAACGUAGCGAAAGUUACGCUAAUACCGCAUAUUCUGUGAGCAGGAAAGCAGGGGAUCGCAAGACCUUGCGCUGAUUGAGCGGCCGAUAUCAGAUUAGCUAGUUGGUGAGGUAAAGGCUCACCAAGGCGACGAUCUGUAGCGGGUCUGAGAGGAUGAUCCGCCACACGGUAACUGAGACACGGUCCAGACUCCUACGGGAGGCAGCAGUGGGGAAUUUUGGACAGUGGGGGCAACCCUGAUCCAGCCAUGCCGCGUGAGUGAAGAAGGCCUUCGGGUUGUAAAGCUCUUUCGGCCGGGAAGAAAUCGUAUCAGCUAAUACCUGGUGCGGAUGACGGUACCGGCAUAAGAAGCACCGGCUAACUACGUGCCAGCCGCCGCCGUAAGAC